GAGGUGAUGAUUUUAGAGGGGACACCCAGGGAGUCGAAGAUGAAAGAAAAGAAGACAGGGAAAUGUAGGAGUGUGUGAUCAUAUGGAAGAGAUGUAGGAGUGUGUGUGUGUGUGUGUGUGAUCAUAUGGAAGAGAUGGAGGAGUGUGUGUGUGUGUGUGAUCAUAUGGAAGAGAUGUAGGAGUGUGUGUGUGUGAUCAUAUGGAAGAGAUGGAGGAGUGUGUGUGAUCAUAUGGAAGAGAUGGAGGAGUGUGUGUGUGUGUGUGUGUGAUCAUAUGGAAGAGAUGGAGGAGUGUGAGUGUGUGUGUGAUCAUAUGGAAGAGAUGGAGGAGUGUGUGUGUGUGUGAUCAUAUGGAAGAGAUGUAGGAGUGUGAAAAUGUAUUAGUCUUGUCUAAGGGUACAUAAGGCCAUUCUCUGUGUGUGUGU
ensembl:lncRNA